rnacentral:rRNA from 1 species
AGCGGCAACAGCUCAAAUUUGAAAUCUGGCUUUCGGGCCCGAGUUGUAAUUUGUAGAGGAUACUUUUGAUGCGGUGCCUUCCGAGUUCCCUGGAACGGGACGCCAUAGAGGGUGAGAGCCCCGUCUGGUUGGAUGCCAAAUCUCUGUAAAGUUCCUUCGACGAGUCGAGUAGUUUGGGAAUGCUGCUCUAAAUGGGAGGUAUAUGUCUUCUAAAGCUAAAUAUUGGCCAGAGACCGAUAGCGCACAAGUAGAGUGAUCGAAAGAUGAAAAGCACUUUGAAAAGAGAGUUAAAAAGUACGUGAAAUUGUUGAAAGGGAAGCGUUUAUGACCAGACUUGGACUUGGUUAAUCAUCUGGGGUUCUCCCCAGUGCACUUUUCCAGUUCAGGCCAGCAUCAGUUUUCGCCGGGGGAUAAAGGCUUCGGGAAUGUAGCUCUCUUCGGGGAGUGUUAUAGCCCGUUGUGUAAUACCCUGGUGGAGACUGAGGUUCGCGCUUCUGCAAGGAUGCUGGCGUAAUGGUCAUCAACGACCCGUCUUGAAACACGGACCAAGGAGUCGUCUUCGUAUGCGAGUGUUCGGGUGUCAAACCCCUACGCGUAAUGAAAGUGAACGCAGGUGAGAGCUUCGGCGCAUCAUCGACCGAUCCUGAUGUUCUCGGAUGGAUUUGAGUAAGAGCAUACGGGGCCGGACCCGAAAGAAGGUGAACUAUGCCUGUAUAGGGUGAAGCCAGAGGAAACUCUGGUGGAGGCUCGCAGCGGUUCUGACGUGCAAAUCGAUCGUCAAAUAUGGGCAUG